AUUCACAGUGUGAAUUUUUUGAAUGAUAGUUGGAAUGAUACAUAGAAGAUUAGCAUGGCCCCUGUCCAAGGAAGACAUGCAAAUUCAUGUUUAAAAAAUAAAU